rnacentral:tRNA from 1 species
GCUCCCAUCGCACAAUGGUAGUGCAGCGGUCUCGAAAACCGCGCCCUUUCGGGCUUCCAGGUUCGAUUCCUGGUGGGAGCG